AUGUAUGAGGAUGUGUCACGGUGCUUUACAUUCGGCGGUGGCACCCGAUUGACCGUCCUUGGUCAACCCAAGGCCUCCCCCUCAGUCACUCUGUUCCCACCAUCCUCUGAGGAGCUCCAAACCAACAAAGCCACACUGGUGUGUCUCAUCAGCGAUUUCUACCCGGGUGAAGUGGCAGUGGCCUGGAAGGCAGAUGGCUCAACCAUCACUCAGGGUGUGGAGACCACCAAGCCCUCCAAACAGAGCAACAAAAAGUAUGCGGCCAGCAGUUACCUGAGCUUAUCACUUGAAUGGUUGAGAACUUACAAGAUGUACAGCUGCGAAGUCACGCAUGAAGGAAGCAUCGUGGAGAAGACAGUGGUCCCUGCACAGUGUUCUUAG